rnacentral:piRNA from 1 species
UCACUCAGUGUACAAGUGUUCUGGAUGUGA